ensembl:lncRNA
AUGGGGUCGCAAAGAGUCGAACAUGACUGAGUGACUGAACUGAACUGAACGCUUUCUUAAUCAGAGGGUCAUUUAAUACAUAUUUAUUGAAUGCCUAUAAAUCAGUUGGAAUAUAUUCAGCUGCAAAUAACAGAAAAUCUCAUAGUACAAGAUCAGGAUUGCCCAAAUGACUAGGAGGUCACUCUAGACAACAAAGUAUCUGAGAAUGGGGAUUCCCUUUGUCUCAACAGGAGGGGCUGCACCCCAGCUUGACCCCGCCCCCCCACAGGACUCAUGACUUCCUCCAUUUUAUGACUGUCUUCCCAGAAGAUUCAUGUGCCACCUGACAUCCUCGAAGUUAAGCAACCUAUGUAUUAAUCCACUGACAAGGCUAUUCUCUAUGCUUGCACUCUAAGGAAAGGAAGAGUAUAAGCUUACACAGCAUGUUCCAGAGAUUGCCGGGCCCCUGGAUGUUUCCCAGUGUGAUGACGGGAAGAUGGAAGACUGGUCAUUCUCUUCAUUUGCCAAGCUUGGGUAAUGUCAAGCAUGUAAAGAUGAGCAUGGAUGGAUAAGCCAAGAUUACUUGUUUCUCUCCUUGAAGUUCAAGUGUCGUCUGCAUAAUAGAAGUAUAACAUCCAUCAAAUAAUCCUCUCUUUACUCAAUCUGCUUGAUUGAGGAAACAUGCAUAACAAGCCAUUUCUGUGACUUUUGUUGCUAAUAAAUGGGUGAAAUACACUUAUUGGCAUUUAAAAUGAAUGACUACAACUAUGUUACAACUAAUAUUAAUGUACUAUAUUAAAUUUCUGAGAAAAAAUAUUAAGGAUUUGGAAAAGACUUUUUUUCAUUCAUCUAUGACCCAUGGUAUACUGUAAAACACACAGAUUCCUCUCACUUUACAAAACACAUGACAGUAACUCUAAGAUUAAUGUAGUUUGAAGAUUAAUGUAGAAUGAAAACUAUUCUUUGAGAAUUUAGUCUAUUUUUUAAAAAUUCUUCAUCAAUCAUACCAAAGCAGACUAGAUGACAAAACACUGUUCUGCAGCCAGUUGCCUUUUAUACAACUGAGUAAAAGUUAACAAAGGUAAACUUGGUCCUUUCCCCAGACCCCACUGUUCCCAUCUUUCUUCCUCUUGGUAUUAGCCUCCUUACUCAUUUUCACCCAUUUCUGAAGCCCUAUUGCUCUCUUCACUGCCCCUAUUCCUCUCCUAUUUAAAUAAACAACACAAAACACAACAGGGGAAGUUCUGAUGAACAGUUAUAACUACACAUUGAUUAGUGAUUACUUUAAUGAUUGAUUAGUGAUUACACUUUAAUUAAAGAUGCAUACAAACCAAUGCAUCUUGGUUGAAAUAAGAUAGCUUUUCAACAUUUACUUUUUCCAAGUUGUUAAAGGAGAAACUAUGAUCUCAUUAAAUUGGUCCUUUCAAUGCCAAAGAAUACUAAUUAAACUCUGUCCCCAUCUGAAAUAGCCAGAGACUUUCCUUCCUGGGGCAAUUUUGAAUUUCCUUUUCUUCAAGUUAAGCCUCUCUUAGCUAACUGCCCUACUUGGCUAGCCUAUCACCAUGUCAGUGACCCACAAAUCAUUCUUGAAUAGUAUCUCUCUUCUUCUUCAUUGUUUCUGUUAUCUAUUCCUGAGUAAUAAAACUCCCCAAAACUGAGCAGCUGAAAGCAACAAAGAUCUAUGAUUUAUUAUGACUCUGUGGGUUGGCUGGGCAUUUCCUCUGCU